rnacentral:rRNA from 1 species
UAGGGAAUCUUCCGCAAUGGGCGAAAGCCUGACGGAGCAACGCCGCGUGAGUGAUGAAGGUCUUCGGAUCGUAAAACUCUGUUAUUAGGGAAGAACAAAUGUGUAAGUAACUAUGCACGUCUUGACGGUACCUAAUCAGAAAGCCACGGCUAACUACGUGCCAGCAGCCGCGGUAAUACGUAGGUGGCAAGCGUUAUCCGGAAUUAUUGGGCGUAAAGCGCGCGUAGGCGGUUUUUUAAGUCUGAUGUGAAAGCCCACGGCUCAACCGUGGAGGGUCAUUGGAAACUGGAAAACUUGAGUGCAGAAGAGGAAAGUGGAAUUCCAGGUGUAGCGGUGAAAUGCGCAGAGAUAUGGAGGAACACCAGUGGCGAAGGCGACUUUCUGGUCUGUAACGGACGCUGAUGUGCGAAAGCGUGGGGAUCAAACAGG